AUUGAACGCUGGCGGCAUGCCUUACACAUGCAAGUCGAACGGUAACAGGUCUUCGGAUGCUGACGAGUGGCGAACGGGUGAGUAAUACAUCGGAACGUGCCUAGUAGUGGGGGAUAACUACUCGAAAGAGUGGCUAAUACCGCAUGAGAUCUACGGAUGAAAGCAGGGGAUCGCAAGACCUUGUGCUACUAGAGCGGCCGAUGGCAGAUUAGGUAGUUGGUGGGAUAAAAGCUUACCAAGCCGACGAUCUGUAGCUGGUCUGAGAGGACGAUCAGCCACACUGGGACUGAGACACGGCCCAGACGCCUACGGGAGGCAGCAGUGGGGAAUUUUGGACAAUGGGCGCAAGCCUGAUCCAGCAAUGCCGCGUGCAGGAUGAAGGCCUUCAGGUUGUAAACUGCUUUUGUACGGAACGAAAAGCCCUGGGUUAAUACCCUGGGGUCAUGACGGUACCGUAAGAAUAAGCACCGGCUAACUACGUGCCAGCCGCCGCCGUAAGAC
rnacentral:rRNA from 1 species